UUCCAUCCUUACGGGUUUUUCUCCUUCUCUUAUUGGUGGCCAUGUGUUAUUCUUUCUGCUUUUUUUUUUCUCUCUCUCUCUUUUCGCUGCCCAAGUAUUUUUCUCCAAAUAGAAAUUCAAACAUUGUGGGUUGUCGAGGCAAGAAAGCAAUAGGCAACUUUGAUAUGUGGACUCAACGCAUGCAGCUAUCUCACGGUUUACAUAGUAGCUAGUAGCUACUUCCUAUAUUGGACUUGGACUUUUGGGGAGUCUUAAUUUUCAUAAACCAUGAUUACUCUCUUUAAGUUGGGAAAGAUCAUCUGGGAUUCCUUUCCGAGCUACUUAGGAGUUAGUACCUAUCCACCCGGCCGGGGAGCCAAGACUUGUUUUCUAUGUUCUUUCCUGUAAUAGCUCGAGUUCAGCAACGGGGAGCUUCUACUUUGGCCGGGCCGGUCAAAGAUCAAGAAUUGUACGCUCUACCAAGAAUGUUCAUGUCAUUCCGCAUGACUGCUGGAUCUGAGUCAUGAGUCAUGACAGAACUCGAUCGAUGAGCAGGUGCUCCAUCCACUCGCAUGAUUUGAUUUACAGAAAAGACGGUGGUAGAACAAAUCAACAACUCGAU